GCCUCUGAGUGUUUGACUAAUUUAAUGUUCUACUAUGCUUCGUCAUAUGCUUUCGUGAUCCUAUGGAUUGUUCUUUAAUUUGAUUCUGGGCAUACCAUUUGCACAUUGGACAACUUGCCUUAUUUCUUCCUCAUCUAGACUCUCCCCAGAGUCUAAGAAAACCAUGGAUGUUUGCCCCUGUUGGCUUAAUGUUAAACUAUGCUACUGAUAAGGAGUCCAGGACCAGUAGAGGGUUUGCAUGCCACAUCUGGUUGGUCGAGCUGUAAAAAAUUUAGCAGAUCAAGGCCUAUGAUGCAUAACGCCAACCUGGCAUAGAUGGGAGGCUCACAGUUUAAGACUUACUCCUUAAUGUUGUACAGUGAUGGUCAUAGCAUAUUGUGUAAAUUAGCUCUCUGAGUCUUUUGACAUAUUGGAGAAUCAGAGUUAAGAGUUGAUGGAAAAUACCUGUAUAUACUCAUCUAUGUCAGCAGAUUGUUAUCAGCAUUUUGUGGAUUGAGAAAAUCAUCACAGAUUGAUUUUCCCUCCCUCUUAGCAAUACUUCUGGUUUCAAUUCUACUGGUUUCACUAUGUAGCUUUCAUGUUAAGUGUUAAAUCAUGUAGGUGAUUUUUUUCCCUCACACAUUGUUCUACAUAAUGGUAGCUUACAGUUGUUUAAAAUGCUCUAGUGAACUUCUAUUAUUGUUGCAAUUAUUUAUUUAAAUGCACUAUGAUGACUAUUUUAAUAUAUAAUGCGCUCUGCUAUACUAUAUUCGUAAUUGUAAUUGCUCCCUCACUCCAGACACCAGAUUAGUGAUACCUCAUGGUUGAAGUACUUAAAAGCAAAACCAGCUCCCCUGUCUCCCUUGAUUUCCUCUGACUGAAACCAACUGAACAGCAAGAAGAGAGAAAAAAAG